CGUUAUAUAGCUUAAUUAAAGCACCUCGCUUACAUCGAGAAAAUACCUGUGAAAACCAAGUUAUUCCGA
rnacentral:tRNA from 1 species